UGGGGAGUGGCUCAGGGGUAGAGCUUGCUUUGCAUGUGCAAGGCCCCGGGUUCCAUCCCCAGCACUGCAA
rnacentral:tRNA from 1 species